rnacentral:rRNA from 1 species
CCUACGGGAGGCUGCAGUGGGGAAUAUUGGACAAUGGGGGCAACCCUGAUCCAGCCAUGCCGCGUGUGUGAAGAAGGCCCUCGGGUUGUAAAGCACUUUCAGUGAGGAAGAACGCCUGGUGGUUAAUACCCAUCAGGAAAGACAUCACUCACAGAAGAAGCACCGGCUAACUCCGUGCCAGCAGCCGCGGUAAUACGGAGGGUGCGAGCGUUAAUCGGAAUUACUGGGCGUAAAGCGCGCGUAGGUGGCUUGAUAAGCCGCUUGUGAAAGCCCCGGGCUCAACCUGGGAACGGCAUCCGGAACUGUCAAGCUAGAGUGCAGGAGAGGAAGGUAGAAUUCCCGGUGUAGCGGUGAAAUGCGUAGAGAUCGGGAGGAAUACCAGUGGCGAAGGCGGCCUUCUGGACUGACACUGACACUGAGGUGCGAAAGCGUGGGUAGCAAACAGGAUUAGAUACCCUGGUAGUC